GGACGGGUGAGUAACACGUGGAUAACCUACCUAUAAGACUGGGAUAACUUCGGGAAACCGGAGCUAAUACCGGAUAAUAUUUUGAACCGCAUGGUUCAAAAGUGAAAGACGGUCUUGCUGUCACUUAUAGAUGGAUCCGCGCUGCAUUAGCUAGUUGGUAAGGUAACGGCUUACCAAGGCAACGAUGCAUAGCCGACCUGAGAGGGUGAUCGGCCACACUGGAACUGAGACACGGUCCAGACUCCUACGGGAGGCAGCAGUAGGGAAUCUUCCGCAAUGGGCGAAAGCCUGACGGAGCAACGCCGCGUGAGUGAUGAAGGUCUUCGGAUCGUAAAACUCUGUUAUUAGGGAAGAACAUAUGUGUAAGUAACUGUGCACAUCUUGACGGUACCUAAUCAGAAAGCCACGGCUAACUACGUGCCAGCAGCCGCGGUAAUACGUAGGUGGCAAGCGUUAUCCGGAAUUAUUGGGCGUAAAGCGCGCGUAGGCGGUUUUUUAAGUCUGAUGUGAAAGCCCACGGCUCAACCGUGGAGGGUCAUUGGAAACUGGAAAACUUGAGUGCAGAAGAGGAAAGUGGAAUUCCAUGUGUAGCGGUGAAAUGCGCAGAGAUAUGGAGGAACACCAGUGGCGAAGGCGACUUUCUGGUCUGUAACUGACGCUGAUGUGCGAAAGCGUGGGGAUCAAACAGGAUUAGAUACCCUGGUAGUCCACGCCGUAAACGAUGAGUGCUAAGUGUUAGGGGGUUUCCGCCCCUUAGUGCUGCAGCUAACGCAUUAAGCACUCCGCCUGGGGAGUACGACCGCAAGGUUGAAACUCAAAGGAAUUGACGGGGACCCGCACAAGCGGUGGAGCAUGUGGUUUAAUUCGAAGCAACGCGAAGAACCUUACCAAA
rnacentral:rRNA from 1 species